rnacentral:rRNA from 1 species
GAUGAACGCUGGCGGCGUGCCUAAUACAUGCAAGUCGAGCGAACAGACGAGGAGCUUGCUCCUCUGAUGUUAGCGGCGGACGGGUGAGUAGCACGUGGAUAACCUACCUAUAAGACUGGGAUAACUUCGGGAAACCGGAGCUAAUACCGGAUAACAUGUUGAACCGCAUGGUUCAACAGUGAAAGACGGUCUUGCUGUCACUUAUAGAUGGAUCCGCGCCGCAUUAGCUAGUUGGUAAGGUAACGGCUUACCAAGGCAACGAUGCGUAGCCGACCUGAGAGGGUGAUCGGCCACACUGGAACUGAGACACGGUCCAGACUCCUACGGGAGGCAGCAGUAGGGAAUCUUCCGCAAUGGGCGAAAGCCUGACGGAGCAACGCCGCGUGAGUGAAGAAGGUCUUCGGAUCGUAAAACUCUGUUAUUAGGGAAGAACAAAUGUGUAAGUAACUAUGCACGUCUUGACGGUACCUAAUCAGAAAGCCACGGCUAACUACGUG